rnacentral:rRNA from 1 species
GACGAACGCUGGCGGCGUGCUUAACACAUGCAAGUCGAACGGAAAGGCCCUGCUUUUGUGGGGUGCUCGAGUGGCGAACGGGUGAGUAACACGUGAGUAACCUGCCCUUGACUUUGGGAUAACUUCAGGAAACUGGGGCUAAUACCGGAUAGGAGCUCCUGCUGCAUGGUGGGGGUGGGAAAUUUUCGGCGGUUGGGGAUGGACUCGCGGCUUAUCAGCUGGUUGGUGGGGUAGUGGCUUACCAAGGCUUUGACGGGUAGCCGGCCUGAGAGGGUGACCGGCCACAUUGGGACUGAGAUACGGCCCAGACUCCUACGGGAGGCAGCAGUGGGGAAUAUUGCACAAUGGGCGGAAGCCUGAUGCAGCAACGCCGCGUGCGGGAUGACGGCCUUCGGGUUGUAAACCGCUUUCGCCUGUGACGAAGCGUGAGUGACGGUAAUGGGUAAAGAAGCACCGGCUAACUACGUG